GGGGCGCCGAGGGCCGUCCCCGUUCCCUCCGGGUCCUCCGCGCACCGCGGCUCCCGGCAGCGCGAGGGCGGCCGGCCAGAGCGGUUUCAAACUUCGAAAACUGCGCUCUGAUCGCGGGAACGUACAGACUCGUGCCGCCUCGAGUCCGAUUCUCGGAGCAGGUGUCAGGCGCCCGGCUACUGCUGUGCUGUGGGCACGGCCCGUGACGGUUCUGACGAGCAGCUGGACAAGUUGAGUUCUUCAGAUGUGCAUUAAACUUAAGACAGAUGUGUGCGGCCUUGCAGUAUUACAUACCGCAUUCAUACGUAGGAAUCAAGUAUGGCCGGUGUGUGAUGGCCCGCUGAGGGCUGGGAUGCUGGUGCUGCUAACAAGGGUUAGUGAUUUGGAACCCUCUUCCCAAACCUAUUUCCCACUUUUCAUACAUCAGCGAUGCAUAGAAUGCAAGUUUAGGUCACGGUGUAACUGAUUCUCCUUCUCGGAGUGCUCAGUCGAGUUGCCAGUUUUGAGUUCCAACCAAAUCCAUACACAACGUGGCUCUGUCUGUUCUGACACAGGUACUUUAAAAGCAUUUCUCUCUCCAGUGCCAGUGUUGGAGCGUGUUUCUGCAGCUGGCAGGACACCUGGGACAAGGGGGCAGAGAUCUGUGCUUAGGGGUGAGCAGCGGAGUCAGCCUUUAGUAGCCCAUGGCCCUGGGUAUUGGAGGGAACUGUUGGGGACAGUCACGGCCUCCCCGUUGCCAUACUGGCUGACACAUGGGGUACUGACAGACACCGAGAGGUUUGCAAGUCUCAGUGUUCAGUCUGCUUUUCUGUUCAGCCCCCUGUGCUUGGUUUGUCAUUUUAAUCAUGGAGGUACGGGCUGGAAUUUUUGGCAGUUAUUGUUAUCGGUGAUAAUCAUCUAUCAUCUCAGCAUUGGCUUGGGGUCUAUUUGUGUUCUCACUCAGCAAUUACAUUUUAUGCUUGGAAGUGAUUGCUAAAAUGCUUACUUUCCAACACUGAUUCUUUUCCUGUGCAGCACAAAAUUAGACUGUUUUGUGGAAGCAGAAAUGCUUGGUAGUGGUAGGACUCUGUGCGCUUGCCUAGCAUGCCAUUGCAAGGACAAUCAGCAUGGAAAACCAGGACUUUGAGCUCUGCAUCUCUGCUUGAUCUUGACUUGCUGGUUGAUACCAGGAGCUGCUUCCCAGAUCCUCUUGAUUUGGUUCGAGAAGUUAGAAUUACCUGUAAUCAUUGGUAAACCAAAAGUCCCGAAUGGAGAACAAUGACAGGCGCCCACCGAGAAGGAGAAUCCCGAGGGUCCCGUUUCGGUUACGCAGUGAGAGAGCAGAGGGUGGGAGAGAGCUUGCAAGGUCAUCUCUGUUUGGAAGCAGUUCUCUUGGCCUUUAGCCCUCCCCUCAGCAGCUGACUUCCAAAUGCAGCUGCAUACAUUUGUGCAGCCCUGGCACACCUGGAAAUGGGAUAACCAUGCUGGGUAGAGCAAAGGGCUGGAGAGUGAUGCUACCAAGGCAUAUAGAACCUUCGCAAGAGAGCCCAUUUUGAGAUGUGGAGGCAAUAUUGUGGGUCUGAGAGAAUGCAGGACUAAGGUAAGAGAAUGCAGGAGCACACAGAUGAGGGCCACUAAGUGGGGAGCCAGAAAGGGUUUUACUGUUUGUGGCUUGAGGAAUGGGCCAAGGAGUGAUAGAUCAGCUUGGGAAGGUAGUGGAGUAUCUAGUUGGGCUAGAGUAAUUUUAAAAUAUAUCCAGAGUUUGUGGUUGAUCCUUGAUCAUAUUGGAAAUGUUCUGGUAUUCUUCAGCAGUACUUAUAAG
ensembl:lncRNA